UCCCAGAUAGCUCAGAUGGUAAAGAAUCUACCUGCAAUGUGGGAAACCUGGGUUCAAUCCUUGGUUUGGGAA
rnacentral:tRNA from 1 species